UACGUAGGGGGCAAGCGUUGUCCGGAUUUAUUGGGCGUAAAGAGCGUGUAGGCGGCUUGGCAAGUCCGUUGUGAAAACUCGAGGCUCAACCUCGAGACGUCGAUGGAAACUGCCUCGCUAGAGUCCGGAAGAGGAGAGUGGAAUUCCCAGUGUAGCGGUGAAACGCGUAGAUAUUGGGAAGAACACCUGAGGCGAAGGCGGGUUGCUGGGCUGAUACUGACGCUGAGGCGCGAAAGCCAGGGGAGCAAACGGG
rnacentral:rRNA from 1 species